rnacentral:rRNA from 1 species
GACGUAGGGCGCGAGCGUUGUCCGGAUUUAUUGGGCGUAAAGAGCUCGUAGGCGGCUUGUCGCGUCGAAUGUGAAAACUCGGGGCUCAACUCCGAGCUUGCAUUCGAUACGGGCAGGCUAGAGUUCGGUAGGGGAGACUGGAAUUCCUGGUGUAGCGGUGAAAUGCGCAGAUAUCAGGAGGAACACCGGUGGCGAAGGCGGUCUGCUGGGGUCGAACUGACGCUGAGGCGCGACAGCGUGGGGAGCAAACAGG